rnacentral:rRNA from 1 species
AGAGUUUGAUCAUGGCUCAGAAUCAACGCUGGCGGCGUGCCUAACACAUGCAAGUCGAACGAGAAAGUGGUAGCAAUACCAUGAGUAAAGUGGCGCACGGGUGAGUAACACGUGACUAACCUACCCUUGAGUGGGGGAUAACUGAGGGAAACCUUAGCUAAUACCGCAUAAUACCCACGGGUCAAAGGAGCAAUUCGCUCGAGGAGGGGGUCGCGGCCGAUUAGUUAGUUGGCGGGGUAAUGGCCCACCAAGACGAUGAUCGGUAUCCGGCCUGAGAGGGCGCACGGACACACUGGAACUGAAACACGGUCCAGACUCCUACGGGAGGCAGCAGUGGGGAAUUUUGCGCAAUGGGGGAAACCCUGACGCAGCAACGCCGCGUGGAGGAUGAAGUCCUUCGGGACGUAAACUCCUUUCGAUCGGGACGAUUAUGACGGUACCGGAAGAAGAAGCCCCGGCUAACUUCGUGCCAGCAGCCGCGGUAAUACGAGGGGGGCGAGCGUUGUUCGGAAUUAUUGGGCGUAAAGGGUGCGUAGGCGGUUUGGUAAGUCUGAUGUGAAAUCUAUGGGCUCAACUCAUAGUCUGCAUCGGAAACUGCCGGGCUUGAGUGUGGGAGAGGUGAGUGGAAUUUCCGGUGUAGCGGUGAAAUGCGUAGAUAUCGGAAGGAACACCUGUGGCGAAAGCGGCUCACUGGACCACAACUGACGCUGAUGCACGAAAGCUAGGGGAGCAAACAGGAUUAGAUACCCCGGUAGUCC